UACGAAGGGGGCAAGCGUUGUUCGGAAUUACUGGGCGUAAAGGGCGCGCAGGCGGCUUGUUAAGUCAGAUGUGAAAGCCCCGGGCUCAACCUGGGAAUAGCAUUUGGGACUGAUGGGCUAGAGAUCGGGAGAGGAGAGUGGAAUUCCCAGUGUAGAGGUGAAAUUCGUAGAUAUUGGGAAGAACACCGGUGGCGAAGGCGGCUCUCUAGUACGGUACUGACGCUGAGACGCGAAAGCGUGGGGAGCGAACAGG
rnacentral:rRNA from 1 species